GUUGCAGGGUAUAGACCCGAAACCCGGUGAUCUAGCCAUGGGCAGGUUGAAGGUUGGGUAACACUAACUGGAGGACCGAACCGACUAAUGUUGAAAAAUUAGCGGAUGACCUGUGGCUGGGGGUGAAAGGCCAAUCAAACCGGGAGAUAGCUGGUUCUCCCCGAAAGCUAUUUAGGUAGCGCCUCGUGAAUUCAUCUCCGGGGGUAGAGCACUGUUUCGGCUAGGGGGCCAUCCCGGCUUACCAACCCGAUGCAAACUGCGAAUACCGGAGAAUGUUAUCACGGGAGACACACGGCGGGUGCUAACGUCCGUCGUGAAGAGGGAAACAACCCAGACCGCCAGCUAAGGUCCCAAAGUCAUGGUUAAGUGGGAAACGAUGUGGGAAGGCCCAGACAGCCAGGAUGUUGGCUUAGAAGCAGCCAUCAUUUAAAGAAAGCGUAAUAGCUCACUGGUCGAGUCGGCCUGCGCGGAAGA
rnacentral:rRNA from 1 species